GUCAGGAUGGCCGAGUGGUCUAAGGCGCUGCGUUCAGGUUGAAGUCCACUUCUGUGGGCGUGGGUUCGAAUCCCACUUCUGACA
rnacentral:tRNA from 1 species